UCAAAAUAAAAAAAGUUAGACGAAAAUCACACUUGACAAAAACAUGAACUUGAAGAUCCCAAAAUGUCAGAACCUCUUCUUAUCAACUAUAAUUAUUGAGUACUAUAAUUAUUAACAGUCUCUUUUCAGUUCAACAAUGGCUUCCUGAGUACUAUAAUUAUUGGGCCAAAAGCCAGGACACCAACUGACAGUUAAAAGUUUAACACUCUCCCAAACUAUACUAAUCUCUACCUAUCAAAAUUCCCAACUACCCAUCCAUCAACCAUGUCCACCAGCACCAUCGUGGAGCCAACGCCGCCACCUCCGCUUAUCCCAUCCCUGCCAGAUGACGUGGCUUUGAACAUCAUAGCUCGUGUCCCAAGAUGCUACCACCCAAUUCUUUCAUUAGUCUCAAAAUCAAUGAGAUCCCUCAUUUCUUCCCCUCUCCUUUACACCACUCGUACCCUCCUCAAAUCUUCCCAACACUUCCUUUACAUCUCUCUCCGCCUCCCCACCAGCCCAGUCCUACGCUUCUACACUCUCUACCAAAAUCCCACCAAACCAGAAAGUCCCAGAAAUAUCCUCGUCCCUCUCCCUCUUAUCCCUUCCACCUCCCUUGUCGGCUCCGCGUUUGCCGCCCUCGGCCACAAAAUCUACGUCCUCGGAGGCUCCAUGGCGGACAUCCCUUCUUCACACGUGUGGUCCCUUGACUGCAGGACCCACACUUGGGAACCAGCUCCAAACAUGCAUGUUUCCCGCGAGUUUGCCGCCACCGGAGUCGUCGACGGUAAAAUUUAUGUCAUCGGCGGCUGCGUUGUUGAUAAUUGGGCUCGGUCGAAGAACUGGGCUGAAGUUUACGAUCCCGAAACGGGGAAAUGGAAUGCGGUUCCGAGCCCCGUUGAAAUCCGGUAUAAGUGGAUGCAUGCAAGCGCGGUUAUUGAUGGGAAAGUUUAUGCAAUGGCCGAUAGACAUGGACUUUGCUAUGAAGUCAAAAGUGGGAGUUGGGGAACGGUGGACACUGAUUUGGAUAAUGGGUGGAGGGGAAGAGCGUGUGUGAUUGAUGGGGUUUUGUUUUGUUACGAUUAUUUGGGGAAAAUAAGAGGGUAUGAUGUGAAGGAAGGGACUUGGAAGGAGUUGAAAGGGUUGGAGGAAGAAUUGCCGAGGUUUUUAUGCGGUGCUACGAUGGCGAAUUUGGGAGGGAAGUUGAUAGUGGUUUGGGAAUCAAAAAAUGAAGGUAGCAAGGAAAUGGAGAUUUGGUGCGCGGAGAUUGAGGUGAAGAAGGAUGAAGGAGGGGAGUUGUGGGGCAGAACUGAGUGGUCUGAUGUUGUUCUUACAGUUCCUACAAGAUCUUCCAUUGUGCAUUGUUUGGCGGUUACAUUGUGAGAUUGGAUGGAGGAUUGUCUGGCACUCAGUAUGACCAAUUCUUUUGUUUCCUGAAAAAUGGUAUAUUCAAUAUGUGGCAACCUUAAAGCUUCAGGACUUAGGAUUGUGCUACAUGGCUGCAGCUCAUGAGUCAUGUGUACCCCCCUUCCUCCAAUUUCUCUAUCAAGACAAAAUCCACUCCUUUCUCUUUAGCAUGUAGAUCAAAUAUGGAGGAAUAUGUGGAGCCAGAGGGAGCAAGCUUCAGAUUGAGCCCCAUGAAUGUGAAUGUUAUCUCCUUGGAAUGUCAUCGCAACGACCUGCGAAAUUGUUUCUCCUUUGGCUCAGGUUACUUCUCUCAAAGCAAUUUACAAUUGGAAAUAACAGAUAUUGCCCCGUCUGAGCCAUUCAAAAUAAAGGGAGUUAACUACUCCUUGUGUGUCUGUUGUACAAUGUGACUAGUGAUUCCUUGUCGAUAUUGGUCCUUGCCAACUUAUGCUUUGCAUAUGUUAAAAUCUAGAUGUUUGUCUGUAAUGAAUUGAUGGAAGUUGGAACUUAUGGUAAGCUGUAACAUGUUUAUGUGCUGAUAAUUAUCAUUUUUAAUUUCUGUUAGGUCUUUGGUGCUUCAUUGUAAUUGAAUGAACAUAUGGUAUGAUGCUAACGGAAAAGCUUGGGCCCGUAAUUGCCUCAGAUCAAUCUCUUC